AGCUGCUUCCAGUCACGGUGUUUCAUCACAGCCACAGAAGACAGACUGACGUCAGUGCUCCCCCUGGUUCUCUCCUAGCAGGGUUAGUUUCAAGUUUUCUACUCAAGAACUGUGUAAUAGUUAAGCCGCCUUAUAUACACGAGAGAGAAGGUCUGGUUUCAUUCUUCUACAGCCUAGCUAAAGGUUUGAAAACUUCAAAAUCUCACCAGGCAAAGUGACCCAUGCCUAUAAUCGCAGCAUUUGGAAGGCUGAGACAGGAGGAGCAUGUACUUCUGGAGCUGUGAAUUCCCUCGCCAAUUUUGCCGUGUCCCUGGCUUUGAAACACUGCUGCUACCUUCAUUUGUUUCAAGAAAUUUGGAAUUCGUCCUUUUAAUCUCUUUUUUGCUGCAUCAUUUGGAGAGUGCAGCUUCAUUUCCUGGUUCUGAAAUGACUCCCCUCCCUCCUUAUAGCAGUUUCUAGUUCUACUGAACUGUGAUUAGGAAAGUUACUCAACAUUAUUUCAGUUCUGAAGAAUUUGCUCAGACUCGAUUUGUAGCCAAUGUCUAUCCUGCAGAAUGGAAACUCCAUCCCUGAAGCCCACAUUGAGAGCUGUGCCACUAAUCCCAGCACUCACUCAGGCCAUCCCAGCACUCACUCAGAAGGGAAUCCCAGCACUCACUCAGAAGGUCAUCCCAGCACUCAGAAGGCACAAGGCAAAUGUCUGUGAGUUGAGGCCAGCCUGGUCACACAGCUAGCUACAGACCAAGCAGGUGACCUGCACCCAGAAAAAAAUAAAUAAAGCAAGCCUAC